rfam:Microscilla marina ATCC 23134 1099589004131, whole genome shotgun sequence.
AAGGCGGCACCUGAAAAGCCUCAAAAAUAGAGUAGGGA